UAAGAAGUCAGAUAUAUUGCGCCCCUUUCUAUUGUUCAUCUUCCCCAACUCUCAACUCACCAUUAAUUCACCCGAGUUCACUCAAAAUGGUCCCCCCCCCUCCACGUCAUUUGAUUCCCAGCGGUUUUGUCAGUAGGGAGUAUGAAUUUUCUCUCCCAAAUAGCACGAUUUCGGACUCAAAAGGACAAUUGUUAGACGAAUGGAAGCCAUGGAUAGAUGUAAAUCGAUCCACUCCUUCUAUCUGUCCCAAAAAUUGUUCAAAAAAUCGGAAGAUUUUCGGAUUUUUGGGCAGAAGAUUCGAGAAUUUUUGAGGGUUAUAUAUAGGAAGUAAGUCUACUAUUCGUAAAGAGAAAAAAUAUAUAGAGAAAAAUCAGAGAAAAAUCGGAUAGAAUCCCCAACAACUUAGCCAAAAAUUUCUAGGGUUUUUGAGUGCUGAAGUUGUGGCUGGUUGUUCUUUGAAUCUCUGCAUUCUAUCGAUUCUGUCCAAAGUAACCUUUCGAAAUUUCGAUUUAGCUGGCAAGUUCUGCUCGAUACAGUUGCUGCUUCCAUUUGAAUUUGGAGUCAAACUAUGUAUUUGACUAUUCUUCUAUCGAUAUUAAAGAAAUCCUUAUUUAAACAGGUUCUUUUCCUCACCAUCUUAUCUGUUUAGUUUUCUUUGCUGUGAGUUUAAGUGCUCAAGAAUCAUGUUAAAAUGAGCCAGAAUUAAAUGUGUUAUGGUUUGUUGCUGAUGUUUUGUUAUGGAAUGGUCACAUGUUAGUAUCAAUUUUGAGACUAGUUUAACCUGUUAAGAUCAUUUUGAAUACUUCGCGUAAUGUCAAGUUCCUUCUAUAUUUUGAUUCUGAUGUUUGGAUUCAUGUUUCUGUUGCGAACCUUCAUUUAAUUAUUGAGUAUCAAUGAUUGUUGGCACCAUUUGAAGCAUGUGGGAGUUAAAUUGGAGGCUCUUCUUAUUUUAGUUUGUCAUGGAGGAACAAAUCACAAAGAGUUCUGUCAACUCAUUUAAAUAGUUUGUUGGUAUGACUUUCGAAAUGAACUCUUCUGUAUAGUCUAAGUCUUUGAGAUGAAUUUUCUGUAAGUUGGACCUCAUGUGUAUUGUGAGAGUUUCGAGUUAUGAAUACCCUUGCUUGUUGAUCUUUCCUGAGUGUUUAGAGGCAGUUCCUCUCGACUUCAUAUGAUUGUGACUGAAUCUUUGUUGGCCAUACGCUUGGAUCUUCAUUUUUGAAAACGUUUGAUAAAAUAUGUUCUUGACAUGGAUCUUAGGUAUAGAAGCAGUCGGAUAUAGCUUUGUUUCAUGAAUUUGGGCUUUGUUUACAUAGAUUGAAUUCAAAAUCAAUGUGUCUGAUUACGUGAGUGCUUCAUAUAUGUAAAUAGGGAACCUAUUGACCAAACUCGCUAUUAUAGCUGGAAGCAAGUUUUAAGAUCUUG
rnacentral:lncRNA from 1 species